rnacentral:tRNA from 2 species
GCAAAUAUAGUUUAACCAAAACAUUAGAUUGUGAAUCUAAAAAUAAGAGUUUAACCCUCCUUAUAUGCC